GAUGAACGCUAGCGGCAGGCUUAAUACAUGCAAGUCGUGGGGCAGCAGGACUGUAGCAAUACAGUUGCUGUCGACCGUCAAACGGGUGCGGAACACGUACGCAAUCUACCCAGAACUGGUGAAUAGCCCUCCGAAAGGAUGAUUAAUACACCGUAAUAUUAUAAAGUGGCAUCACUUAAUAAUUAAAGCUCCGGCGGGUUUGGAUGAGCGUGCGGCCCAUUAGGUAGUUGGUUGAGGUAAUGGCUGACCAAGCCUGCGAUGGGUAACUGGUGGGAGAGCACGACCAGUCACACGGGCACUGAGCCACGGGACCGACUCCUACGGGAGGCAGCAGGAAGGAAUAUUGGUGAAUGGACGCAAGUCUGAACCAGCCAUGCCGCGUGGAGGAUGAAGGCCCUCUGGGUUGUAAACUUCUUUUAUGGGGGACGAAAUCACUUAUUCUUAAGUGUCUGACGGUACCCCAGGAAUAAGCACCGGCUAACUCCGUGCCAGCCGCCGCCGUAA
rnacentral:rRNA from 1 species